rnacentral:rRNA from 1 species
AAUGAACGCUGGCGGCAGGCCUAACACAUGCAAGUCGAGCGGAUGAAGGGGGCUCGCUCUCCGAUUCCGUGGCCGGCGGGCGGGUAAUGCCCACGUAUCUGACUGGCAUUGGGGGCUAAGGUCAGGUAACGGGCGCUAAUCUAGCAUCGGUUCUUAUGUUGAACCGGAUGGAUCUUUAGACCUCGAGCUAUCAGCUGAGCCUAGGUCGGAUUAGCUAGUUGGAGGGGUAAAGGCCUACCAAGGCGACGAUCCGUAACUGAUCUGAGAGGAUGAUCAGUCACACUGGAACUGAGACACGGUCCAGACUCCUACGGGAGGCAGCAGUGGGGAAUAUUGGACAAUGGGCGAAAGCCUGACCCAGCCAUGCCGCGUGUGUGAAGAAGGUCUUCGGAUUGUAAAGCACUUUAAGUUGGGAGGAAGGGCAGUAAGUUAAUACCUUGCUGUUUUGACGUUACCAACAGAAUAAGCACCGGCUAACUUCGUG